rnacentral:rRNA from 1 species
AGCAGCCGCGGUAAUUCCAGCUCCAAUAGCGUAUAUUAAAGUUGCUGCAGUUAAAAAGCUCGUAGUUGAAUUUCGGGACCAAUAUGUCGGUCGUGCCUCGGUACGUACUGGCAUCGUUGGUUUCUCCCUUCUGACGAACCAUGAUGUCAUUCAUUUGGUGUCGUGGGGAAUCAGGACUGUUACUUUGAAAAAUUAGAGUGUUUAAAGCAGGCUCACGCUUGAAUACAUUAGCAUGGAAUAAUGAAAUAGGACGUUUGAUUCUAUUUUGUUGGUUUCUAGGAUCGACGUAAUGAUUAAUAGGGAUAGUUGGGGGCAUUAGUAUUCAAUUGUCAGAGGUGAAAUUCUUGGAUUUAUUGAAGACUAACUACUGCGAAAGCAUUUGCCAAGGAUGUUUUCAUUAAUCAAGAACGAAAGUUAGGGGAUCGAAGACGAUCAGAUACCGUCGUAGUCUUAACCAUAAACUAUGCCGACUAGGGACGUACGGAGUAGUAGUUAGUUUUUAAAUUUUAGUACGUACUAC